UCCAAUCAAAUAAUAAGCAGUGAAAUGAAUAGACACUUCUCGAAAGAAGAAGUACAAAUGGCCAAUAAAUACAUGAAAAAAUGCUCAGUAUCUCUGGCCAUUAGAGAAAUGCAAACUCAAACAACACUGAGAUUCCACCUCAACCCAGAAAAAAAUGGUCAUCAUCAGGAAAUCAAAAAAUACCAACUGUUGGUGAGGCAGGGUGAGGGGGUCUCUACAUUGUUGGCAGGAAUGUAAACUAGUACAAUCACUAUGGAAAUCAUUGUGGAGUUUCAAAAAAAAGCUGAAACUAGAAAUUUUAUUCAACCCAGCUACUCUCCUUCUAGGUAUGAGAGACCUAAGUUAGCUUAAGAGACUCCAUUUUGUCUGAACUGCCCCAGUUCUGAUGGGAAACUGUCCUCUGUGUGAACUCUGGGAGGGUCUUAUCUCAUGUUUGUACUCCUGUGUGAUGUCUCAGCACACCAGAUGUUCUUAUCUCAUGCCUAUACUCCUGCUUUUGAUUGAUGUUUAAGGGUUUAGACAAACAACCACAAGAGCACAUAUGGAACCCAUCCGUCGUAAAUAACAGGAUGUGUGUCUGCAUUUUGUAAGGGCUGGUUUUACAACAUGCACCUGGUGACCCUGAUGUGAUAACCAUGUAUUCUUUCUCACUUCUGUAAAUAUGCUUAUUGCAGGGCUAGGGAGGUGGGAGGAGGAAAGGGUUUUCUCUAUAAAAACUGACCAAAAGUUUAGUUGGUGGCCAGUCUCCUUGCAGGGGAUUUGGUCCCGGCCGGAAAAUAAAGUUCUUUGCAGACUUUACAUCGUGUCGUGACCUGGGUGACUGUCACUGUCGGGAACCUGGUUCCAACAUUUUUGGAGGCCCCAGCAAGAUCUCACUGAGCCGACAGUCUUGGAGCCUUCUCUACCACUCGGGCUGCCUCCGGUGCACUUGACUCUGGGGAGGCCACCCCGAGGCGUUCCAGGGCCCCGAGUCCAGCAGCUGCCGGCAGAGGCAGGCAGACUUGGACUCUACCACUGGGAACUUUAUCUGGGAAAAAGCCUCUAGAGGUAAGGACUGUAUGGUCUUUUGGGUUGCGUGCUUGGUGGGCAGAAGGAGGUCCGAUGCAACAUCAACUCCUCUGCUCGGGGACUCACUGUGAUGACAGGAGUCACCCCUGGUUUUGGGUAAUGGUCCACAAAUUUUAGGUAGUUGUGUCUUUGGCGCCGUGUUUGUCAGUGUUGUCUUUGUUCUGUGUUUCUUCCUGUCUUUUUUCCCACAGGACGCCAUAGGCAGUUCUGAAUCCAAGCUCUCUACCCCUCUUAAAUGUGUUCUUUCUAAUUUCAGGAAAAUUUAUAGUCCAGAUAAAAAGGAUGAAUAUGGGAUUAAAUUUUCUAAGGUGAAAGCCUGCACCCUCUGCAAACUUGAAUGGCCUACCUUUGGGGAGGGGUGGCCUCCACAGGGAACCUUCAAUUUAGCUACUGUCUGGAACAUUUGGGAAAGAGUCAGUGGGAGUGGUGGGCCCCACCAUCCCAACCAAUUCCCACAUAUUGAUAUUUGGCUGAAUCUUGUAGAAGAGCCACCUAACUGGCUCCUCCAAUGUUCCCUACGGGGAGGGGGUCCUAAUUACUCUUGACGGAGACCCGGCACCAGGCCCACAGGAGCACAAGUUCUUUUGGCCUCGGCCAGGAAGGCUCAGUCAUCCGACUGGCCUGAUGUCCUCCAAAUUCCACUGGAAGAGGACCCCCGGCAACCACAUAGGGACCCCUCUCCACCUCCUUAUUCCUCAGCCCCGCCAUUGAGCCCCGACUCCACUGCUAGAGAUUCUCCUUCUAACAUUUUCUCCUCCCCACACCAGGUCUGGCCAAGAUUAUGGUCUCAGGGCAGGCCCCACAGAAAGUCAAGGGCCUCACCUCCCCACCUCUCCCACCUCUCUUUAUAGCCUGGCACCUCUCUUCCCCUUGCACCAGGCUGAGCCAGAGUGGGGGGGGUGGGCUUGUGAAUAUUCCCUUCACCACUAGUGACCUUUACAAUUGGAGACAUCAAAACCCUCCCUUUUCGGAGAAGCCCCAGACCUUGAUUUCUCUCCUCAAGUCUGUUUUCUACACUCACCAGCCUACCUGGGAUGAUUGCCAGCAGCUCUUACAGACCCUCUUCACAUAAGAAGAAAUAGAUCGCAUUCUUCAGGAGGCUAUAUGAGAUGCCCUGGGGCUGGGAUCAGAUAACCUCCCAGACCGGGUGGCUAGGAUAGAGGCAGUCAUACCUACCCAGAGACCUCGAUGGGACCCAAAUACUAAUGACAGUAAGAGGGACCUGGAUGCCUACUGCCAGCAUCUUUUAGGAGCAGUGGCACGAAAGCCGACCAAUUUGAGCAAGGUAAGUGAGAUUAAACAUAGGAAGACAGAGUCCCCAGCAGCAUUUCUGGAGAGGCUUUUAGAGGCCUACCAGGUUUACACCCCCAUAAACCCAAAUACUCCAGAAAACCCAGCCCUGAUAAAUCUGGCUUUUGUUUCCCAGUCGGCCCCAGAUAUUAGAAGAAAGUUACAAAAAUUAGAAUUUCAGGGAAAGAAUAGGACUGAGCUCUUGAGCAUUGCCCAAAAGGCUUACAAAAAUCGUGACUCCCCUGAAGAAGCGGUGGCCAAGAAAUUGGGGAAAGUCACUAUUGCAGCCUUGGACGCCUGUGAGUCUAAGGGACAAGGGAGAGAUGGACAAGGAAAAAAGAGAUGCCCGUCCUUAAAGAGAGAUCAAUGUGCAAUUUGUAAAAAGUUCAGGCAUUGACAGAGAAAAUGCCCAUUCCAAAAGGAUAAAAAGGAGACCCCCUGGAAAGAGAGCAAAAGGUUCUGAUAAGGGAGACUGCUAAAGAUUAGGGAGGUCGGGACUCUUUCACUAUCAGCCCCCAGGAGCCCAUGGUAAAGAUAAAGGUAGGGGGCACUCCAGUUAAUUUUUUAGUGGACACUGGCACAGCUUAUUCUGUUUUGACCCAACUGCUGGGACCUAUGACUACAUACAAGACGGGGCGACAGGAACAAAAAACAAAGGAUAGUCAUGGAGCACCUCCAGGACUGUUGUUUUAGGAAAACAUCAGUUGACACAUUCCUUUUUAGUCAUCCCAGAAUGUCUUUACCCGCUGCUGGGACGGGAUCUUCUGAGAAAACUUAAGGCGACUAUUUCUUUCACUGAAUGAGAUGCUAGUCUACAAAUGGAUAUGCCGACUAAAAUUCUGGUCACCUGUCCCCUGUCUGAAGAAUAUCUUCUCCAACCCGGAGAAACUCUAGAUCAGAAUGUCAAAUUGUUACAAGAGUUACAAGCCCUCUUUCCUCAGGUAUGGGUGAAACAAAUCCACCCGGUCUAGCUGCUCAUCAACCGCCUGUUGUGGUCACAUUGUUGGCAACUUCUACCCCAAUAGCAGUUUGACAGUAUCUGAUAAGAAAACUGGCAAAAGACAAGAUCAAAGUACAUCUACAGAGGCUCAUGGACUCUGGGAUCCUGGUACCGUGUAAGUCUCCCUGGAAUACACCUCUUCUCCAAUAUAAAAACCAGGUACCAAUGACUACCAGCCUGUCCAGGACCUACGGGAGAUAAACAAGUGAAUGGAGACCAUCCAUCCCAUGGUCUCCAAUCCCUACACCUUCCUAAGCCUCCUGCCAUCAGAUCGUCAGGUGUACACGGUCCUGGAUCUCAAAGACGCCUUCUUCAGCAUCCCGUUGGCACCCGUGAGUCAACUGCUAUUUGCUUUUGAAUGAGUAUAUCCAGACUGGGGGCUCUCAGGACAGUUGACAUGGACUAGACUUCCACAGGGAUUCAAAAAUUCUCCCACCUUGUUCGAUGAAGCACUAAACUGGGACUUGUCCACCUACCGAGCUACCCACCCAGAGGUGACCUUGUUAUAAUAUGUUGAUGAUUUAUUAAUAGCUACAGCAGACUUUGAGACCUGUAAGGAGGCAACAGAAGACCUAGGACUAUUACAAACCUUGGGGUAUAGAGUAUCAGCCAAAAAGGCACAACUAUGUGUAACUAAGGCCACCUACUUAGGAUAUCAGUUGUCUGAAGGAAAAAGACUGCUCUCAAACCAGAGAAUACAGGCUAUUCUUCAGAUACCAACCCCCACCACAAAACGCCAGGUCCGAGAAUCUUGGGAACAGUGGGUUACUCUUGCCUUUGGAUACUAGGUUUUGCAGAGAUAGUGAAACCCCUGUAUUCGGCCAUGGCAGGUGGAGAUUCCCCCUUGGUUUGGACCACGGAGGAAGAAACAGCCUUCCAGGGACUAGAAAAAGCCCUGACUUAAGCUCCAGCUUUGGCUUUGCCUGACAUUACUAAGCUGUUCUGCUUGUUUGUAGCUGAAAAAGGGGGAAUCGCCAAGGGUGUAUUGACUCAGGUUUUAGGCCCAUGGAAUAGGCCGGUAGCCUACUUAUCCAGGCAGCUGGAUCCAGUGGCCACUGGGUGGCUCACUUGUCUGCAGGCUAUUGCAGCCACUGCCAUAUUAGUAAAAGAGGCAGACAAACUCAGUUUAGCCCAAGAUCUGACCAUAACCGCUCCACAUGCAGCUGAAACUUUAUUGCGGGGAACCCCCGACUGUUGGCUCUCCAAUGCUUGACUGACCCAGUAUCAAGCCUUACUCUUAGAUCAACCUCAGAUUCGCUUCACAAAAGAGAUGGCCCUCAACCCAGUGACCUUACUCCCCAAUCCUGACCUAGACAAACCAGCUCACAAUUGCCAGGAUGGGAUUACCUCUUCCACCACCAACCAACCAGACCUCAGUGAUGUCCCUAUCCAAGAGCCAGAUGCAGUAUACUUCACACACGGAAGCAGUUACAUGGAGGACUGGGUCAAGUAUGCUGGGGCAGCUGUGGUCACACCAGAAGGAGAAGUUAAAUGGGCUCAGCCUCUAAAUAGGGGCUUCUUGGCCCAAAAAGCUGAACUGAUAACACUGACCCAGGCCUUGCGGCUUGGCCAAGAAAAGACUGAAUAUCUACACUGACAUCCGGUAUGCGUUUGCCACGGCCCAUGUGCAUGGCGACAUCUACCGGCAGCAAGGCCUAUUGACCUCAGAAGGGAAGACUAUUAAAAAUAAGGAAGACAUUUUGGCCCUAUUAGUGGCAAUAUGGGAACUAAAAACAGUGGCCAUCAUUCAUUGUCAAAGUCAUCAAAAAGGAAACCAUUAUGAGGCCAGAGGAAAUCAUGGAGCUGUCCAGACAGCCCGACAGGUAGCCAAAGAACCAGUGGGGCCCCAAGACAUAUUGCCCAUCCAACCUUUUGGCUACUUAGCAGAACCGCUCACGUACACUCAGGAGGAGGAAAACAAAAAUGCCCAACUAGGGGCGAUAAAACAGGACUCCGGGUGGUGGAAGUUACCAGAUGAGAAAAUCUGCCUACCUCAAACCCUGGGCAGGCAACUUCUUCAACAACUCCAUCACCUCACCCAUCUAGGGGAAUCCAAACUAAAGAAACUGGUGAGUUCCAAAUUCUCUGUUCCAGGACUAACUUCAUUGGUCACAGAUAUCUGUUCCAGGUGCCAAGUAUGUGCUCGAGUCAACCCCCGUGCGGGGCCCCACAAGGAAGGGGCCCGACUGAGGGGAACACAGCCUGGAGAACACUGGGAACUGGACUUUACAGAGGUAUAAUCCAGCCAAAGGUACAAAUAUUUACUGGUCCUAGUAGACACUUUUUCAGAAUAGGUAGAAGCUUACCCUACCAGGACAGAGUCUGCUAAUGUGGUUACUAAAAUACUACUCCAAGAGCUCAUCCCUAGAUUUGGUCUCCCGCAGUACCUGGGGGUCUGACAAUGGCCCUGCCUUCACAGCUCGAGUGUCUAAAUUAUUGGUGAGGGCUCUAAAUAUUGAAUGGAAACUACACUGUGCCUACAGGCCGCAAAGUUCAGGACAAGUGGAAAGAAUGAAUAGAACUUUGAAGGAAACAUUGACAAAGUUCAUUUUGGAAACUGGCGUCUCUCCAAGCCUUACAGUAUCCAAAACCAUCUCCACAAUCAAAUCCACCAGACCAGGAGCAAUACCACGCCAUUCCCACCUCAUCAAUUCAAACCAGGGGACCUGGUUUUGGUGCACAGGCAUCAAACAAAAAGUCUCGAGCCCCGAUGGAAAGGGGCCUAUCCUGUAGUCCUGACGACUCCAUCAGCCCUCAAGGUCGCUGGAGUCACUGCAUGGAUUCAUCACUCCCACAUCAAAUCAGCACCCAAAGAGGACGACUCACAAGAUCCAGCACUACAACGGUGGAAAGUCCUCAACAAGCCUGGGGACCAAAAGAUAAGACUGGGAUGGGAAAGUUGACUAUGUUGUGGAGAUUUCUUUUUGUAAAUUUAUACUGCAUCAUGCCUAGUUAUCCUUAUGCCCCUCAAACUGAGGUAUGGGAGUUAAGGAUGACCUCCAAUGGGCAAGUGAUUUCACAGGUUACCAGGGGUCCAGAUGAUCACCAGGUCAUUUUUACUGUUAGCUUAUGUAAUUUUUUUGAGAAAAAAUGGCAACCAUAGGGCAGAGGGGCUGUAUGGCAUCUGGGUGCUGCACCAUUACUGAAUUCACUUUUCCCCAUCCCCUUCAAUACUACGUGUGUCCACCAAAUGGAGACAAAUACUGCAAGGAUAGUCAAGAAGACUAUCAUUGUCUAAAAUGGGGAUGAGAGACUAUAGCCCCCUGGUCAGUCCAAGUCCUGGAUUGCUGGCUAAAAAUGUCUCCCACCACCCUCAAUCAUGAUAAACCCUGUGUCACUGGUAGAUGCUAUCUGGUUACUAUUCUACCACAAUGAUUGGAGGAUCCUGGGUGAAAAAUUAGGAAGGACAUGGGGAAUCAGGCUAUAUCUUGCAGGAUUCGAUCCUGGAUCAGAAUUUACCAUCCCAUGCAGCCAAUACAGAGCCCCAUUAGUAUUAGAACCAAACAAAGACCUGGCCCUACCUAUCCCUGUAGAAAAACCUGAGCCACCUCCUGAAAGACCAAAUCCUAGUCCACCUGUGAGGUUGUCAACUAUUUCCACUGACCUGUCAGAAAUCUCUGACACCGAGAGGCCAGAGACCACCACACCAAUCUUAGAGAUGUUAACCAAGGUUCAUAAAAUGAAUCUAAAUUCAUCUAGACUGGAGGAAACAGGAGAUUGUUGGUUAUGUCUAGACCCAAAGCCCCCCUAUUAUGUAGGGAUGGGAGUGACCACUGUGCCUAAAUCUCUGUCCUCCACUGAUUGUAACUGGAAUAAACCUAUGCUAACUUUGGGGGAUAUACAAGGAACAGAAACGUGUCUGACUUGGACAAAUUAUAACUUAGAUAGUUUAUGUAACUCAACUUUCACCAACCAUACAACUCCAGGUUCCCCCUUUACAUUAUAAGGCUCCAGAGGAUGCCUGGUUUGCAUGUACUGAGGGGUUCACUCAAUGUAUUCCCAAGUCUGUUUUUACAGAUCAACCUGACUCCCUGCUCUGUGUCACUGUUUAUAUAAUUCCACAAGUGUUAUAUUAUAAUGGGGAAGGAGGAUGAGAACACUUGGACCCUGCCACAGACUUGUACAGACAUAAAAGAACAGCUCCUGUUCUGGUCCCCAUUCUGGUAGGAUUGGGGAUAGCAGCCUCUGCAGCCAUAGGAACCUCCUCACUCGUAGUACAGGAUAGUAACUUUAAAGCUUUAAGCUACCAGGUAGCCCAAGAUCUAGGAUAUCUGGAAGAUUCUGUUUCUAGGCUGGAAAAACAAGUAGACUCAUUGGCUAAAGUUGUAUUACAAAAUAGGAGAGGAUUAGAUUUGCUUUUUAUGAAACAAGGGGGAUUAUGUGUGGCAUUGAGAAAAACGUGCUGUUUUUACGUUAAUCAGUCAGGAGUAAUAAGAGACACCCUGGUCAUGGUACGAGAAAACUUAAAGACAAAAUACUGGAAUCAAAAAGACCAAAACUGGUACCAAUCUUUGUUUAACUGGUCCCCCUAGAUGACUACCUUACUCUCCACCCUAGCUGGACCCCUAGUCAUCUUGCUUCUAAUGUUGCUAAUUGGACCGUGUGUUAUAAAUUCCAUCACCAAGUACGUAAAACAAAAAAUAGAGACAGUAAAACUCAUGGUCUUAAGGAAGGAAUAUAGGUUCAAACAACAAUAUGAACGUAUAACAGAAAAAGAAGACAGGGAAGAAUCAAGGAUUUGAUUGAGUAUGCUAGAAGCAGUGGGGUAUGAGAGACCUAAGUUAGCUUAAGAGACUCCAUUUUGUCUGAACUGCCCCAGUUUUGGUGGGAAACUGUCCUCUGUGUGAACUCUGGGAGGGUCUUAUCUCACGUUUGUACUCCUGUGUGAUGUCUCAGCACACCAGAUGUUCUUAUCUCACGCCUAUACUCCUGCUUUUGAUUGAUGUUUAAGGGUUUAGACAAACAACCACAAGAGCACAUAUGGAACCCAUCUGUCAUAAAUAACAGGAUGUGUGUCUGCAAUUUGUAAGGGCUGGUUUUACAACAUGUACCUGGUGACCCUGAUGUGAUAACCACGCAUUCUUACUCGCUCCUGUAAAUAUGCUUACUGCAGGGCUAGGGAGGUGGGAGGAGGAAAGGACCAAAAGUUCAGUCAGUGGCCAGUCUCCUUUUAGGGGAUUUGGUCCCGGCCGGAAAAUAAAGUUCUUUGCAGACUUUA